GCCGAGGUGGUGUAGUCCGGUCUAUCAUCCGGGCCUGUCGAGCCCGGGACCCGGGUUCAAAUCCCGGCCUCGGCGCCA
rnacentral:tRNA from 2 species